rnacentral:snoRNA from 13 species
CGAUGACUGUUCCUCCUGUAGCUUCAAGUCUCAGCUGCAGGAUUUUAUGUUGUCGUAGAUCAAACCUGACUUUAUUCACUCGGAACGCACUGGGACAUCUGGUAUUGUCCAUCUGCGUUUUGAAUUUUGCGGAGUCAGACAUGU